UACGAACCGUCCAAACGUUAUUCGGAAUCACUGGGCUUACAGAGUUCGUAGGCGGUCUGGAAAGUUGGGUGUGAAAUCCCUCGGCCUAACCGAAGAACUGCGCUUGAAACUACCAGACUCGAGGGAGAUAGAGGAAAGCGGAACUGAUGGUGGAGCGGUGAAAUGCGUUGAGAUCAUGAGGAAGACCAGUGGCGAAGGCGGGUCUCUGGACAGUUCCUGACACUGAGGCACGAAGGCCAGGGGAGCAAACGGG
rnacentral:rRNA from 1 species